GGGGAUGUAAAGGUUUCGACGGGGGUGGGUGGAGCAUGGAUAGCGAGCCGGGGGGUCAUCAACCCGUUAGUAAGGUGAAAAGCUUUAAAUAUAAAAGCUAACGAAGACUACGCUUUAGCCGCAUAAGGCUACCCCUGCCUGACUGCCUCCUGCACGGGAGGGUGAGGGGCAAAUUGCAGGAUACUCAGUUGUCAAUUCUCGGAGACGCUGGGGAAUUUCAUCGAGAUCGGGUGUACAGCGGUUGUUUGUGUCUGCUUAAGCCUUAAAUCUAAACAUAAACUGCGCUCGGAGAAGUCUAUGUAACAACGCUUUCGGACAGGAGUUCGAUUCUCCUCAUCUCCACCA
rnacentral:sRNA from 1 species